AACGAACGCUGGCGGCAUGCCUAACACAUGCAAGUCGAACGAGACCUUCGGGUCUAGUGGCGCACGGGUGCGUAACGCGUGGGAACCUGCCCUUAGGUUCGGAAUAACUCCCCGAAAGGGGUGCUAAUACCGGAUAAUGUCUUCGGACCAAAGAUUUAUCGCCUUUGGAUGGGCCCGCGUUGGAUUAGCUAGUUGGUAGGGUAAAAGCCUACCAAGGCGACGAUCCAUAGCUGGUCUGAGAGGAUGAUCAGCCACACUGGGACUGAGACACGGCCCAGACUCCUACGGGAGGGAGCAGUGGGGGAUAUUGGACAAUGGGGGAAAGCCUGAUCCAGCAAUGCCGCGUGGGUGAUGAAGGCCUUAGGGUUGUAAAGCUCUUUUACCCGGGAUGAUAAUGACAGUACCGGGAGAAUAAGCUCCGGCUAACUCCGUG
rnacentral:rRNA from 1 species